rnacentral:rRNA from 1 species
UACGGAGGGUGCAAGCGUUAUCCGGAUUUACUGGGUUUAAAGGGUGCGUAGGCGGGUUGGCAAGUCAGUGGUGAAAUCUUCAAGCUUAACUUGGAAACUGCCGUUGAUACUAUCAAUCUUGAAUAUUGUGGAGGUAAGCGGAAUAUGUCAUGUAGCGGUGAAAUGCUUAGAUAUGACAUAGAACACCGAUAGCGAAGGCAGCUUGCUACACAGUAAUUGACGCUGAGGCACGAAAGCGUGGGGAGCAAACAGG